rnacentral:misc_RNA from 1 species
CUUCCCACCACAUGACCCGC